UGCUAAUCCAUUCCACGCUCUCCAGAAUUUCUCACUGCCUCUCACUGCUGUGCCAGAUUAAUUUAAAUGUAUCUGUUGAGGUGGAGAUAAUCAAUGCAAAUCACUGGCACCGGGCUUCGCAAAUAGAGUAUGUUUGAUUCACGAAGAGGCCUUAGCUAUAGAAGGUCACUCCUUCACUAGUUUUUUUUUUCUCCCCCAGAACUCGUUGUCUAAAGUGAUUGAACAGACAGAAUUUUACUGUAUCGUCUGCCUUGUUUUACCUGCGGCAGCCCUUCCGAGGAUCUACCUUUCACCCCUGCCUGUUCAGAAAGUUUUCUGAUGGGAAGAUACUGUACAUACAGAGAAGAAUAUGAAGUAAUCCUUCUGAGCCCAGGUGGGAACACAUGAGGCCCACUAAUGGACUGAGUUUACCAGAAUUCCUCACCAUGGUCGAUUGUGUAAGUUUCUCUUGUAUAUUAUUGUACAUUAGUGCUUUAGGAUGGUGCGUUUCGUCUUUGAUUGG
rnacentral:lncRNA from 1 species